GGGUAUGUAGCUCAGUUGUAUAGAGCAAUCGCCUUCUAAGCGAUCGGUCGCUGGUUAGAGUCCAGCCAUACCCA
rnacentral:tRNA from 1 species